rnacentral:rRNA from 1 species
UGCCAGCCGCCGCGGUAAUACAGAGGGUGCAAGCGUUGUUCGGAAUUACUGGGCGUAAAGGGCGUGUAGGCGGCCUGACAAGUCAGAUGUGAAAUCCCGGGGCUUAACUCCGGAAGUGCAUUUGAAACUGUUAGGCUAGAGUGUAGUAGAGGUUGGUGGAAUUCCCAGUGUAGAGGUGAAAUUCGUAGAUAUUGGGAGGAACACCGGUGGCGAAGGCGGCCAACUGGGCUACAACUGACGCUGAGACGCGAAAGCGUGGGGAGCAAACAGGAUUAGAUA